UACGUAGGGGGCUAGCGUUGUCCGGAAUCAUUGGGCGUAAAGCGCGUGUAGGCGGCCCGGUAAGUCCGCUGUGAAAGUCGGGGGCUCAACCCUCGGAAGCCGGUGGAUACUGUCGGGCUCGAGUACGGAAGAGGCGAGUGGAAUUCCCGGUGUAGCGGUGAAAUGCGCAGAUAUCAGGAGGAACACCUAUUGCGAAGGCAGCUCGCUGGGACGUUACUGACGCUGAGACGCGAAAGCGUGGGGAGCAAACAGG
rnacentral:rRNA from 1 species